GUUUGUAAGGACUAUUCCAUUAAAAUAGAGGGAGGAAGGUCGUAUGGAAAGUUCCAUUUCAGGACAUUGGGUUGUUGGUCAGUUGAGAUUGUAUAAAUAAAAAGGAGAUGUGGCAUUAUUUACAAUGAGACCAUUGUCCACCAUACACUAGGAUGUUGAUUUAUUGUAUGCAAAUUUCUUGAUUAGGACAUGGGUAGCAUUUUUUUAUAAAUCUACUAGUGAGAAAUAUGAGUUAAAUUUACGUAAUGAUUACUUCUCAUUAAAAUAACAGGUAGACGACUAUAGGUAAAAAGCGCAAAUGUCCGGUCAAUUUACAGGUGAAUCAAAAUUUUAAGCGCAAAUGUCCAUAGUAUUUGAAGCGCAAAUGUCCUAUCGUUUUAUAUGUAAAAAAGCGCAAAUGUCCUGUGCCCA
rnacentral:lncRNA from 1 species